GGUUAAGCGACUAAGCGUACACGGUGGAUGCCCUGGCAGUCAGAGGCGAUGAAGGACGUGCUAAUCUGCGAAAAGCGUCGGUAAGGUGAUAUGAACCGUUACAGCCGGCGAUGUCCGAAUGGGGAAACCCAGUGCAAUUCGUUGCACUAUCGUUAACUGAAUACAUAGGUUAACGAGGCGAACCGGGGGAACUGAAACAUCUAAGUACCCCGAGGAAAAGAAAUCAACCGAGAUUCCCCCAGUAGCGGCGAGCGAACGGGGAGCAGCCCGGAGUCUGAAUCAGCUUGUGUGUUAGUGGAAGCGUCUGGAAAGUCGCAGGGUACAGGGUGAUACUCCCGUACACUAAAACGCACAGGCUGUGAACUCGAAGAGUAGGGCGGGACACGUGGUAUCCUGUCUGAAUAUGGGGGGACCAUCCUCCAAGGCUAAAUACUCCUGACUGACCGAUAGUGAACCAGUACCGUGAGGGAAAGGCGAAAAGAACCCCGGCGAGGGGAGUGAAAAAGAACCUGAAACCGUGUACGUACAAGCAGUAGGAGCCCACUAGUUGGGUGACUGCGUACCUUUUGUAUAAUGGGUCAGCGACUUAUAUUCUGUAGCAAGGUUAACCGAAUAGGGGAGCCGCAGGGAAACCGAGUCUUAACUGGGCGUUAAGUUGCAGGGUAUAGACCCGAAACCCGGUGAUCUAGCCAUGGGCAGGUUGAAGGUUGGGUAACACUAACUGGAGGACCGAACCGACUAAUGUUGAAAAAUUAGCGGAUGACUUGUGGCUGGGGGUGAAAGGCCAAUCAAACCGGGAGAUAGCUGGUUCUCCCCGAAAGCUAUUUAGGUAGCGCCUCGUGAACUCAUCUUCGGGGGUAGAGCACUGUUUCGGCUAGGGGGUCAUCCCGACUUACCAACCCGAUGCAAACUACGAAUACCGAAGAAUGUUAUCACGGGAGACACACGGCGGGUGCUAACGUCCGUCGUGAAGAGGGAAACAACCCAGACCGCCAGCUAAGGUCCCAAAGUCAUGGUUAAGUGGGAAACGAUGUGGGAAGGCCCAGACAGCCAGGAUGUUGGCUUAGAAGCAGCCAUCAUUUAAAGAAAGCGUAAUAGCUCACUGGUCGAGUCGGCCUGCGCGGAAGAUGUAACGGGGCUAAACCAUGCACCGAAGCUGCGGCAGCGACGCUUAUGCGUUGUUGGGUAGGGGAGCGUUCUGUAAGCCGUUGAAGGUGGCCUGUGAGGGUUGCUGGAGGUAUCAGAAGUGCGAAUGCUGACAUAAGUAACGAUAAUGCGGGUGAAAAACCCGCACGCCGGAAGACCAAGGGUUCCUGUCCAACGUUAAUCGGGGCAGGGUGAGUCGACCCCUAAGGCGAGGCCGAAAGGCGUAGUCGAUGGGAAACAGGUUAAUAUUCCUGUACUUGGUGUUACUGCGAAGGGGGGACGGAGAAGGCUAUGUUGGCCGGGCGACGGUUGUCCCGGUUUAAGCAUGUAGGCGGAUGUUCCAGGUAAAUCCGGAACGUUACUAACGCUGAGGUGUGAUGACGAGGCACUACGGUGCUGAAGUGACAAAUGCCCUGCUUCCAGGAAAAGCCUCUAAGCAUCAGGUAACAUCAAAUCGUACCCCAAACCGACACAGGUGGUCAGGUAGAGAAUACCAAGGCGCUUGAGAGAACUCGGGUGAAGGAACUAGGCAAAAUGGUGCCGUAACUUCGGGAGAAGGCACGCUGAUGGUAGGUGAAGUGACUUGCUCACGGAGCUGAAAUCAGUCGAAGAUACCAGCUGGCUGCAACUGUUUAUUAAAAACACAGCACUGUGCAAACACGAAAGUGGACGUAUACGGUGUGACGCCUGCCCGGUGCCGGAAGGUUAAUUGAUGGGGUUAUCCUCACGGAGAAGCUCUUGAUCGAAGCCCCGGUAAACGGCGGCCGUAACUAUAACGGUCCUAAGGUAGCGAAAUUCCUUGUCGGGUAAGUUCCGACCUGCACGAAUGGCGUAAUGAUGGCCAGGCUGUCUCCACCCGAGACUCAGUGAAAUUGAACUCGCUGUGAAGAUGCAGUGUACCCGCGGCAAGACGGAAAGACCCCGUGAACCUUUACUAUAGCUUGACACUGAACACUGGUCCUUGAUGUGUAGGAUAGGUGGGAGGCUUUGAAGUGUGGACGCCAGUCUGCAUGGAGCCAUCCUUGAAAUACCACCCUUUAAUGGCUGGUGUUCUAACGUGGGCCCGUGAUCCGGGUUGCGGACAGUGUCUGGUGGGUAGUUUGACUGGGGCGGUCUCCUCCUAAAGAGUAACGGAGGAGCACGAAGGUCAGCUAAUCCUGGUCGGACAUCAGGAGGUUAGUGCAAUGGCAUAAGCUGGCUUGACUGCGAGCGUGACGGCGCGAGCAGGUGCGAAAGCAGGUCAUAGUGAUCCGGUGGUUCUGAAUGGAAGGGCCAUCGCUCAACGGAUAAAAGGUACUCCGGGGAUAACAGGCUGAUACCGCCCAAGAGUUCAUAUCGACGGCGGUGUUUGGCACCUCGAUGUCGGCUCAUCACAUCCUGGGGCUGAAGUAGGUCCCAAGGGUAUGGCUGUUCGCCAUUUAAAGUGGUACGCGAGCUGGGUUUAGAACGUCGUGAGACAGUUCGGUCCCUAUCUGCCGUGGGCGCUGGAGAAUUGAGGGGGGCUGCUCCUAGUACGAGAGGACCGGAGUGGACGCAUCACUGGUGUUCGGGUUGUCAUGCCAAUGGCAUUGCCCGGUAGCUAAAUGCGGAAGAGAUAAGUGCUGAAAGCAUCUAAGCACGAAACUUGCCCCGAGAUGAGUUCUCCCUGACUCCUUGAGAGUCCUGAAGGAACGUUGAAGACGACGACGUUGAUAGGCCGGGUGUGUAAGCGCAGCGAUGCGUUGAGCUAACCGGUACUAAUGAACCGUGAGGCUUAACCUU
rnacentral:rRNA from 1 species